UACGAAGGGGCUAGCGUUGUUCGGAAUUACUGGGCGUAAAGCGCACGUAGGCGGAUAUUUAAGUCAGGGGUGAAAUCCCAAGAGCUCAACUCUGGAACUGCCUUUGAUACUGGGUAUCUUGAGUAUGGAAAGAGGUAAGUGGAAUUGCGAAGUGUAGAGGUGAAAUUCGAUAGAUAUUCGCAGGAACACCAGUGGCGAAGGCGGCUCUCUGGGACGGUAC
rnacentral:rRNA from 1 species